GCUCAACCGGGGAGGGUCAUUGGAAACUGGGGAACUUGAGUGCAGAAGAGGAGAGUGGAAUUCCACGUGUAGCGGUGAAAUGCGUAGAGAUGUGGAGGAACACCAGUGGCGAAGGCGACUCUCUGGUCUGUAACUGACGCUGAGGCGCGAAAGCGUGGGGAGCGAACAGGAUUAGAUACCCUGGUAGUCCACGCCGUAAACGAUGAGUGCUAAGUGUUAGAGGGUUUCCGCCCUUUAGUGCUGCAGCAAACGCAUUAAGCACUCCGCCUGGGGAGUACGGUCGCAAGACUGAAACUCAAAGGAAUUGACGGGGGCCCGCACAAGCGGUGGAGCAUGUGGUUUAAUUCGAAGCAACGCGAAGAACCUUACCAGGUCUUGACAUCCUCUGACAACCCUAGAGAUAGGGCUUCCCCUUCGGGGGCAGAGUGACAGGUGGUGCAUGGUUGUCGUCAGCUCGUGUCGUGAGAUGUUGGGUUAAGUCCCGCAACGAGCGCAACCCUUGAUCUUAGUUGCCAGCAUUCAGUUGGGCACUCUAAGGUGACUGCCGGUGACAAACCGGAGGAAGGUGGGGAUGACGUCAAAUCAUCAUGCCCCUUAUGACCUGGGCUACACACGUGCUACAAUGGGCAGAACAAAG
rnacentral:rRNA from 1 species